AGCCUGAACGCUGGCGGCGUGGCUAAGACAUGCAAGUCGUACGGGCGUAGCAAUACGUCAGUGGCGAACGGGUGAGUAAAGUAUCGCUAACGUACCCCUCAGUCUGGGAUAGCCGGGGGAAACUCCGGGUAAUACCAGGUGACAUUCUCUGCCUGCAUGGGCGGAGACUCAAAGGGAAACCGUUGAGGGAGCGGGCGAUAUCGUAUCAGCUAGUUGGUGAGGUAACGGCUCACCAAGGCGACGACGCGUAGCCGGGCUGAGAGGUCGGCCGGCCACAUUGGGACUGAGACACUGCCCAGACUCCUACGGGGGCUGCAGUAACGAAUCUUCCGCAAUGCACGCAAGUGUGACGGAGCGACGCCGCGUGUGGGACGAAGUCCUUCGGGAUGUAAACCACUGUCAGGGGUAAGAAAGUUCUGAUCUACCCCAGAGGAAGGCACGGCUAACUCUGCGCCAGCACGCCGC
rnacentral:rRNA from 1 species